GCAGGAGGUGGAUGGGCCUGGGGGCUGGGGACCCAGAGGGCGCGGCCUGGGUGAGGUUCCAGGCUUUGCUUCAGGUUCCGACUCCUCCUUCGGUGGUCGCGGGGACCUCCCCAUCACCGACCCUGGGUUACAGGUGGAGAAACUGACUCCAAGGGGCGUGGGGGAGGACCUUAGGCCAACCUCACACAGCACAAGGAGCCUGUGGCGCUGUCAGCAGUGACCACCAAUUUGAGGACCAGGCAGCAUCCCUUCAGGGCAGGCAGGUACAGACUGACC